AGAGUUGUAUCCUGGCUCAGGAUGAACGCUGGCGGUAUGCCUAACACAUGCAAGUCGUACGAGAGUUUUUAACUCAAGUGGCGGACGGGUGAGUAACACGUGAGAAUUUGCCUUUAGGAGGGGGAUAACAGAGUGAAAACGCUGCUAAUACCCCAUAUGCUUUCGAGUGAAAUGGAUUUAUUCGCCUAAAGAGAAGCUCGCGGCUGAUUAGCUUGUUGGUAAGGUAAUGGCUUACCAAGGCGACGAUCAGUAUCUGGUUUGAGAGGACGAUCAGACACACUGGAACUGAGACACGGUCCAGACUCCUACGGGAGGCAGCAGUGGGGAAUUUUCCGCAAUGGGCGAAAGCCUGACGGAGCAAUACCGCGUGAGGGAUGACGGCCUAUGGGUUGUAAACCUCUUUUCUCAGGGAGGAAAUCAAUGACGUUACCUGAGGAAUAAGCAUCGGCUAACUCCGUGCCAGCAGCCGCGGUAAGACGGAGGAUGCAAGUGUUAUCCGGAAUCACUGGGCGUAAAGCGUCUGUAGGUGGCUUAACAAGUCAACUGUUAAAUCUUGAAGCUCAACUUCGAAAUCGCAGUCGAAACUGUUAGGCUAGAGUAUAGUAGGGGUAAAGGGAAUUUCCAGUGGAGCGGUGAAAUGCGUAGAGAUUGGAAAGAACACCGAUGGCGAAGGCACUUUACUGGGCUAUUACUGACACUC
rnacentral:rRNA from 1 species